GGGUAUAUAGCUCAGUGAUAGAGCAUGUGCUUGGCAUGCAUGAGGUCCUGGGUUCAAUCCCCAGUCCCUCCA
rnacentral:tRNA from 1 species